UACGAAGGGGGCUAGCGUUGCUCGGAAUCACUGGGCGUAAAGCGCACGUAGGCGGACUCUUAAGUCGGUGGUGAAAUCCUGGAGCUCAACUCCAGAACUGCCUUCGAUACUGGGAGUCUCGAGUUCGGGAGAGGUGAGUGGAACUGCGAGUGUAGAGGUGAAAUUCGUAGAUAUUCGCAAGAACACCAGUGGCGAAGGCGGCUC
rnacentral:rRNA from 1 species